UUUCAGUUUGGUCAGCACAGACUGAAUCCACAGAACAGAAUUUUUGGAAGUUUGAGGAACUUGGUUUUUCUUCUUCAACAGAGAGUAAAGAGACUAGGUUUUUUGGGUUUGUACAAAGGACUGGACGCAAAACUUCUUCAGACAGUAUUGACCUCUGCUCUGAUGUUUCUAAUUUAUGAAAAUAUAACAGCUGUAACCUUUAAAAUUAUGGGACUGAAAACUCAGCUGAAACGAUGAUGAACAAACCGAUGGUCAGCUGAAGUGAUACCCAGUGUCUCUGGUCCAGACAACAGAUCGUAGAACGAGAGAGAGAAGGAGAGACAGUAUGUUGCAUUGUGCCAGUCAAGUGCAUCUACUAAAGGGUUAUAGUUAUUAAUUUAAACAAAUUGCAAUUUCUAUGGUAAAAUAAAAUUUCACAAUGUGUGACACAUUA